rnacentral:rRNA from 1 species
AUUCCAGCUCCAAUAGCGUAUAUUUUAGUUGUUGCAGUUAAAAAGCUCGUAGUUGAAUUUCUGGUGGGAAGAUGCGGACGGCCUCAUGGCUUGUUCCAAGUCUUCCGGCCAUCCUUGGGUGGAGCUCGUCUGGCAUUAAGUUGUCGGGCGGGGGAUGCCCAUCGUUUACUGUGAAAAAAUUAAAGUGUUCAAAGCAGACUUAUGUCGUUGAAUAUAUUAGCAUGGAAUAAUAAGAUAGGACAGCAGUGCUAUUUUGUUGGUUUGCGCACCGUUGUAAUGAUGAAUAGGGACAGUUGUGGGUAUUUAUAUUCACUUGUAAGAGGUGAAAUUCUUAGAUUAAGGGAAGAUAAACUACUGCGAAAGCAUUUACCAAGGAUGUUUUCAUCA